rnacentral:rRNA from 1 species
CCUACGGGAGGCAGCAGUGAGGAAUAUUGGUCAAUGGGCGCUAGCCUGAACCAGCCAAGUAGCGUGAAGGAUGACUGACCUAUGGGUUGUAAACUUCUUUUAUAUGGGAAUAAAGUGCAGUAUGUGUACUGUUUUGCAUGUACCUUAUGAAUAAGGAUCGGCUAACUCCGUGCCAGCAGCCGCGGUAAUACGGAGGAUCCGAGCGUUAUCCGGAUUUAUUGGGUUUAAAGGGAGCGUAGACGGGUUGUUAAGUCAGUUGUGAAAGUUUGCGGCUCAACCGUAAAAUUGCAAUUGAUACUGGCAUUCUUGAGUACAGUAGAGGUAGGCGGAAUUCGUGGUGUAGCGGUGAAAUGCUUAGAUAUCACGAAGAACUCCGAUUGCGAAGGCAGCCUACUAGACUGCCACUGACGCGGAUGCUCGAAAGUGUGGGUAUCAAACAGGAUUAGAUACCCGUGUAGUC